UUUAAAAUCGAUUCAUUCUUAUUGGAAGCGAGAACUACUCAAUUAAGGGUGCUAAUUUCUUGAAAAGAGCUUCAAAGGAGCUCCAAUGGCAGAAAAUGCACUUUUGCAUUCUGCAUAGGUGUGACAACCGUCAACUGCAUGACAAGAAACCUGUCAACAUGUUAAAAGGGAUGACAUUUGUCAGUAAAAUGGUGGUCAGACCAUCGGGUUUUUUUGGAGGGAUGAAGGACGAGGCAAGUGAUGAAGGAUGACGUAGAGGGAUGACGACCGCCAUGGCCUUGGAACAAAUCUUCAUGGUAUGGGCGGUCAGUUUUGACGCGCCGAUUCAGAUUUUCGAUGAUGUUUCUGAAGUCGGUGAUUUAUUAAUGUUGUUUUAUGGUGUUUGAUGUUUUGAGAUGUGAAUCGAUAUGCUCUAAAUAUUAUUGAAUGAGUAAUUAUUGAUAAACUGUGAGUUUGCUUAAAUGUUAACUUGCAUUAUUGAAUUAA